rnacentral:piRNA from 1 species
UGCAUCUCAUGAGGUGUUUGUGAAGA